rnacentral:rRNA from 1 species
GACUCACAUCCGAGGCCUUGUAAUUGGAAUGAGUACACUUUAAAUCCUUUAACAAGGAUCAAUUGGAGGGCAAGUCUGGUGCCAGCAGCCGCGGUAAUUCCAGCUCCAAUAGCGUAUAUUAAAGUUGUUGCGGUUAAAACGUUCGUAGUUGAACUUGUGUUUCGCACGGGCAGUACCUAGGACUGGGCAACCAGGACGGUACCUUGUCUUAUCUUUCUAUUUCUUUCAUUGGACUUAGAAAAAGUGCGUGAACGUAUUAUCGGCGUGUUCGUUUUUAUUAACGUUCACAUAAGCUCAUUUCAGUGCUCUUAACCGAGUGUUGUUGUGGGCCGAUACAAAUUACUUUGAACAAAUUAGAGUGCUUAAAGCAGGCUUGUAAUGCCUGAAUAUUUUGUGCAUGGAAUAAUGAAAUAGGACAUCUGUUCUACUUUCAUUGGUUUUUUAGACCAAGAUGUAAUGAUUAAUGGAAGCAGUUGGGGGCAUUAGUAUUACAACGCGAGAGGUGAAAUUCUUAGACCGUUGUAAGACUGACUAAAGCGAAAGCAUUUGCCAAAGAUGUUUUCAUUUAAUCAAGAACGAAAGUUAGAGGUUCGAAGGCGAUCAGAUACCGCCCUAGUUCUAACCAUAAACGAUGCCAGCUAGCAAUUGAGUGUAGCUACUUCUAUGGCUCUUUCAGUCGCUUCUCGGGAAACCAAAGCUUUUGGGCUCCGGGGGAAGUAUGGUUGCAAAGCUGAAACUUAAAGGAAUUGACGGAAGGGCACCACCAGGAGUGGAGCCUGCGGCUUAAUUUGACUCAACACGGGAAAACUUACCAGGUCCGAACAUAAAUGAGUAAGACAGAUUGAUAGCUCUUUCUCGAAUCUAUGGGUGGUGGUGCA